AGAGCACGGCCCGCCGCAUCGGGACUGAGACACUGCCCGGACUCCUACGGGAGGCUGCAGUAACGAAUCUUCCGCAAUGCACGAAAGUGUGACGGGGCAAUGCCGCGUGUGGGAUGAAGCCCUUCGGGGUGUAAACCACUGUCAGGGUCUAGGAACACAAUGACCAUACCCAAAGGAAGCACCGGCUAACUCUGUGCCAGCAGCCGCGGUAAUACAGAGGGUGCGAGCGUUAAUCGGAAUCACUGGGCUUAAAGGGUCCGUAGGCGGGGCUGCAGGCGUCGAGUGAAAUACCACGGCUCAACCGUGGAACUGCUCGGCGAACCGCAGUUCUUGAGGCGAGUAGAGGCGAUCAGAACGAUAGGUGGAGCGGUGAAAUGCGUAGAUAUCUAUCGGAAUGCCAAAGGUGAAGACAGGUCGCUGGGCUCGUCCUGACGCUGAUGGACGAAAGCGUGGGGAGCAAACGGGAUUAUAUACCCCGGUAGUCCACGCCGUAAAACAAUGCGCACUGGGUCGGGGAGGUUUUGACGCCUUCCUGGCCGAA
rnacentral:rRNA from 1 species